CCUACGGGGGGCUGCAGUGAGGAAUAUUGGUCAAUGGGCGCGAGCCUGAACCAGCCAAGCCGCGUGAGGGAAGACGGUCCUCUGGAUUGUAAACCUCUUUUGUCGGGGAGCAAAAGACGCCACGCGUGGCGUUCCGAGAGUACCCGAAGAAAGAGCAUCGGCUAACUCCGUGCCAGCAGCCGCGGUAAUACGGAGGAUUCAAGCGUUGUCCGGAUUUAUUGGGUGGAAAGGGUGCGCAGGCGGAAGAUCAAGUCAGCGGUAAAAUUGAGAGGCUCAACCUCUUCGAGCCGUUGAAACUGGUUUUCUGGAGUGAGCGAGAAGUAUGCGGAAUGCGUGGUGUGGCGGUGAAAUGCAUAGAUAUCACGCAGAACUCCGAUGGCGAAGGCAGCAUACCGGCGCUCAACUGACGCUCAUGCACGAAAGUGUGGGUAUCGAACAGGAUUAGAUACCCCUGUA
rnacentral:rRNA from 1 species